AUUGAACGCUGGCGGCAGGCCUAACACAUGCAAGUCGAACGAGUGGCGGACGGGUGAGUAAUGUCUGGGAAUCCGCCGGAUGGAGGGGGAUAACUACUGGAAACGGUAGCUAAUACCGUAUACUAUCAGCUGUGCCCAGAUGGGAUUAGCUUGUUGGUGUGGUAACGGCUCACCGAGGCGACGAUCCCUAGCUGGUCUGCGAGGAGGACCAGCCAGACUGGAACUGAGACACGGUCCAGACUCCUACGGGAGGCAGCAGUGGGGAAUAUUGCACAAGGGGCGCAAGCCUGAUGCAGCCAUGCCGCGUGUAUGAAGAAGGCCUGCGGGUUGUAAAGUACUUUCAGCGGGGAGGCGUUACCCGCAGAAGAAGCACCGGCUAACUCCGUGCCAGCCGCCGCGGUAAUUC
rnacentral:rRNA from 1 species